UACGUAGGGUGCGAGCGUUGUCCGGAAUUAUUGGGCGUAAAGAGCUCGUAGGCGGCUUGUCGCGUCGGAUGUGAAAGCCCGGGGCUUAACUCCGGGUCUGCAUUCGAUACGGGCAGGCUAGAGUUCGGUAGGGGAGAUCGGAAUUCCUGGUGUAGCGGUGAAAUGCGCAGAUAUCAGGAGGAACACCGGUGGCGAAGGCGGAUCUCUGGGCAGUAACUGACGCUGAGGAGCGAAAGCGUGGGGAGCGAACAGG
rnacentral:rRNA from 1 species